rnacentral:rRNA from 1 species
UACGUAGGGUCCGAGCAUUGUCCGGAAUUAUUGGGCGUAAAGGGCUCGUAGGCGGUUCGUCACGUCGGGAGUGAAAACUCGGGGCUUAACCCCGAGCCUGCUUCCGAUACGGGCAGACUAGAGGUAGGCAGGGGAGAGCGGAACUCCUGGUGUAGCGGUGGAAUGCGCAGAUAUCAGGAAGAACACCGGUGGCGAAGGCGGCUCUCUGGGCCUUACCUGACGCUGAGGAGCGAAAGCGUGGGUAGCGAACAGG